GCAGUGCGUGGCCGAAUGGUUACGCUGUCCGCUUUGUAAGCGCAUGAUUCUGGGUUCGAUCCCAUCUGCUGCA
rnacentral:tRNA from 1 species